rnacentral:lncRNA from 1 species
CUAAAUUCCGCGAAAACGAAACAAGUUCACACGGAAAUAGUAUGACCUGAGACGCCUCUUGUAAGUAGACAAUUAAUUCACUAUUUCCGAAAUAAUUAAUGAGUUUAUGCCUGAUAUGACAAUUGUUUCCAUAUUUUAGAAAAACAAAAUGCAAGAUUUUUCUGAUUUCGUGGUAAUUUCACAGCUUGUUUGUUCAUCACUGUACUAUAAAAGAUGAAGUUUAGUUUCGUUUUGCUUAUUAAACGUGUUGAAAUGGUUUCGUUUAUGAAUGUUGAACAAGAGGGCAUAUACGAAAUAAUUAUUAAAUAUGAAAGUUAUUUUACAGAGAUAGGUUAAAAAUAUUAAGUGUUUUGUUGAAUGAGAGGUUAAAUGUAAUGGAAAACGAAAGUUGAUACAUAUAAAAAGUCAUAUUUUAGUUUACUUAGUCAGUCAAGUACAUUCUAUCUUUUUUUGAUGAUUUUUUCGUAUAUUUGGUGCGAGUUCAGCGGUAAUCAGCUUCAUAUUAAUUUAAAGGUUUUUAUCUUCAUGUCAUUCAUAAAUUAUUUGUUUUCGUAAUUGUUAUCUCCCUUUGCACACAACAUACUGACAAUUAAGAAAUUGAAUCCUGCAUAAACCUGAUAUAUGUAGUUACAAUUUAUUUCCAUAAUCAAUUAUUAAGUUCGAACUUUCUUUAACGUACAAAUAUAUGCUGCAAUUAUAUAAUAUAAGAAUACAUGUAGCCUCGAAAGGACUGUAAAUGGUCUCUUCUAGGUGAACCCUCAAAUACAUCGUUUUUUGUAAUCUCUAUAUUAUGUAUCCCUUAUUAAGUUUGUAGAAAUGUGAGCCUCUGAUAUGUACACCUCAAUUUCGCGCCUGUCCGAAGUCAAGAACCUCUAGCUUAAGUUAGUCUUCUGUUGGUGGGGGGGGGGGGGGGGGGGGGGUCGCAAUACCCUUUUGUGUUAACCUGUUAUGGCCCUUUUCAAGGUGUUGUUUUAAAACUGUUAUCUGAAAAAAAACUGUUAAGCUGUUCACUGUUUUCAACCCUGUUUGUUAACUGUUAUCAGCAUUUUUGUAUUUUUUGUUAACUGUUUUUUGCUAACUGUUUUUGCCAAAAUCGAGGUGUUGUUAACCUGUUAACGGACCCCUAUUCCCCCCCUUCUUCUGUGUGUGUGUGUGUUUUUUUUUUUAUUAUGGUUCAUUUGUAUGCUUCGGAGUUAAGUAUGACAUUCACUUCGCUGAAGUAGUACAACAUUUUGUGUAUAUGCCAGUUAAAGCCCGCAUCAGGGCGCCUGAUUUUCUCGCUGUGUUAAAGAAGCAAUGGGGGCUUUGAAGUUUUUUUUGGAUUGUUUUCUCAUCGACAAAUUCACCAUCACAGCCUAAGUACGACCUAUGAAAACACAACACGAUUAACCGUUACUAAUGGAUAAAGUGUUUACAUGUUUACGUGUAAAUACAUUCCUUUUCAAAAACUUCAAUGAAAUAGAUUUAGUUUAAAUGUACAAUGUACAUGUAUUCAUAUGACAUGAUAAAGCUUAAUACAAAUAAGAUUUUCAAUAAAUCCAAAAAGUACAUAUAAUAACAACCACACAAGCGAAUCGAACGUAAUACGCAAAGAAAAUAAGUGUUUCAUUUGCAUUAUAAUUUAUAGGUGUUUGUAAAACCAUGACCUAGGACGAAAUACAAUGUGUGCUUCAUUUCUGUAUUAUCGUGAUUAGCAAACCAUGAUUAUGAAUAUUAGAACAAAACUUCCUUCAAAUGCCCAUGUCAAAAGGUUCAUAUACUAAAAUUCCGGACAACGCGAUACCAAAGUAAUCUUUCCUCAACAUGAGGGUCUUGAUGGUGGUUUACAGAAUAGAGAUUAAGCACAGACAUGUGUAUUGAAUAGAGAAAACAAAUAAAAAAGAUACAAAACAGAAUAUAAUUUGUUGAAAAAAUAUUACUAAUGGAGAAUAAUUGGCAAAAAAUAUAAAAAAUAGAUCUGAUUAAAAAGGCUUAAAAAUUCAAGAAUUUAGAAAUGGAAAUAUCCUAUCCAAACUGUUCUUCAAUUGGUUCUGUUUAAAUUUUACUCCGUUAGAUCGUGUAUUUGUUUAUUUGCUUCUUACCGGAUGUAUUCAGUGGCGGAUCCAGGAAUUUUCAUUUUUCAGGGGAGGAGGGGGGGGGGGGGCACCGAUGACCGCCUAAGACUAUUUGAAACUGAAACCGGAUGUAUUCAGUCAUGCCCCAGUGAUUACCUAAAUAAUCAACUAAGUUGUUUUCUCGCAAAAGGUGAAGGGGCCUCUGGUAAACCGUUCUAUCAUAUUUUCACUGUACGUGUCUAGUGGGUUUCUGGCGAGAAAGGUGGAAAGGUGAAUGUUUUCAGUUUAAAUUACGUCGCUGUUUAGGAUAUAUAUUAAAUUUUAUAAAGAGCAGAAAGGGGUUCCAACUCCUACAAACUCCACACAUUGGAGCCACACAUGCAUCCGAAGAAACCAUACCUGUGCUAUGCUUCUAUUCAGUAAAUGUACAAAUAUGUUAUAUGUGCGUAUAUAUAUGUUUAUAUAUCACAGAAACAAUGGAAAUGAUUGAAAUUAAAUAAAAAAUAACAAAUCUCAUCGAUGUUAGAAAAAAAGGGAGAGGUCUUAAAAACUACCCUGUCCCUAAGUUACUGCCAAAAACCAGCGAAAUUUGUUAAAACAUUGACAUGUCAGGGUCCAUAACUUUGAAAGGGGUAAUACAAUUCUUAAAACAGGGUAGAUAGAUCUAACCCUCUGAUAAUUUAUACACUUUUCAGUAGGAGUUUUGUCCUAUCAGCUACAAACUACAGAUGUACCUCUGUGUUCUAUUCAAUUUUUGUUCGCUUGACCUAAAGUAUUAUGUAUGGUUUUGCCAUUACUUUGCGUCCAUUGUCAGUCCGUCUACCGUCCUUCGUCCGUUAUUUAUUCCUUAAUAUUCUUCUACUCUGAAACUGCGGGUUUGUCUACUUCAUUUAGAUUAACUAAAAGUUUGUGGUUUUCCUCAAGGUUGGUUAAUCAACAUGGAUGCCGUGUCUAAAAUAAACAAAGAUGGCAAGCUAAAAUUUGAUUAAAUCUAAAUCUAUCUCAAUAAGAGAAAAACUGUCCAGCAUAAAGUUCUAGUAAAGUUCUACCAACCCUGAUUAAAUUAAAAAAAAAACUGUCUGCCUGGUUUGCAUUUAUUGCUCCUGAAAUGUUAAAGUUCACACGUAAUUCGAAUUCGAUUCGCAUUAACUAAUUCGAGUUAGUUUAAUUCGCAUUCGAAAAGUUUUACGUCCUCACGUCAAUUCUAAUUCGAAUUGCAAUGCGCGUCAAAUUCGCCUUAAGUACUGUCAAAAUGACGUUAACUUUUAAUUCGUAUUAACAAAAACGUAUUUCUAUCGAAUCAAUUCGAAUUAAAAAAGAAGAGUGUUGGAACGCGAGUAGCGAAUUCAUUCGCAUUCGAUUCGAAUUCAAUUCGAAUUAAAUGUCCGUGUGAACAAUUCCUUGCUAUUUCUUCGAAUUCAGAAAACAUACGAGCAACACUGAAAGUGUAAAUUUCUCAAAAAUGAUCUGCAUGAGAGAACGUAUAUCCAUCCUAAAUAUCAAAAAGAAAUCUUUUUUUUUUUUAGAUUUUGCUCUAAAAUAUAUAUUUUUUCUCUGCUUGUUUAGCAGCUUUUAACUGCAAACCUGGAUACUAUAGGGGCUAGAUAUGCUAAACUGAUAAGCAUAGAAAAAAAAUAUAUUCUGAAGAGUUGAACCCUUUUUGGACUAUUGCCCUGAAAUUUUGAUUUUUACGGUUUUAUUUUGUUUGCAGUCUUUGUCUGAAAACAAUAGGAGAUACAUGUAAGUUUUAAUGUGCAUAUAAAAAUAGCAAACUGGCGACUUUUACAACAGGUGGGCACUACAGGCACACAUGUGCCUCUUGUUACCUAUCAUGGUUGCUAUGGUUUGAAUCUAUUCUGAACAAAAUAAGGAUCGUUUGUCGACAACAUGAUUACAUGUAUCAUACAUUAAAGUGUCUAAUAAUUCGUCUAUAUGGUUCUCAUGAAGAAAUUGUUUGGAAAAUGAAACGAAAAAUGACGGACACCGGACGACGAACAGCCACGACGAACGACGGACAACCGAUACGGAAGGCAGCUAUGGGAUGGCAUAAUCUGACAUGGCUCUUUAUAAACAUGUUGAGCUUAAAACUGAGCAGUCAUAUUCAAAGACAAAACAGACUUUUGACAAAUUGAAAGAGAUCUUGUAUCUCCCAAGUAAGAAAUGUUGAUUCGAAAUUAAAACUUGCAUCUUUAAAAUAUAUGUCUGAAUUGCAUUACGUUAAAAUAUAUUGAAAUUACCGACAUUGUUUCUAUUUCUGUAGUUUUUGAUCUGGGAAGCAUCUCCUUGUUGGUAAAUAUUUGGUUGCUGCCUAUACAAAGAAAGAGACACACGCAUUGUGUAUAUAUAUUUUACGUCAUUAGUUAGAUCAUAAUUUGACUUCUUCACAUAUUUAAAAGAUCUAGAGUAUUGUAGAAGAAAAUAAUUGGUUAUACCGAAUAGAUAGUGGAAAGAGUUUACAUGGUCCUUCCUUAAUGUGUGCAUUGACCCGGAACAAAGACUGUCUUUGUAAUAGUUAUAUAUCUCUGUGUUCGAACAAUUAUAUAAUGAAUUUUACCCCCAAAAUAAGAUAUUCAAAACACGAAUAAUGUUGAUUCAUUAUUAUUUUUCGAAUACCAUUUUUCGUGUAUUUUGUGGGAAAAGGUAAACCACGAAAUUAAAUGUUCAACAAGUAAUAGAUUUUCUACAGGUUUUCAUGAAAACCUCGGGGAAAACAACGGAAUCAAAAUAUCCACGAACAUUUAAGUAUUCCUCACUCCUCGAAAUUUGACACCCAUGAGAAUAAAUGAACCUGCAGUAUACUUAAAUACUUAAUUGGUUCAUCCCUAUGUAGAUGCAACGAUAAUGAUUAUUAUAUGUAUUAUAUUACAGAGCUUGCAUUGUAUAUUUGAUGAGAAAUUAACAUGUAGAAAUAGGAAGAUGCGGUUUAAUUGCCAAUGAUUAAACUCUCAACCCGAUACCAAAUGACAUAAACGUUACCAACUAUAAGUUACCAUACGGCCUUCAACGAUGAGCAAAACUAAUACCGCAUUGUCAGCUUUAAAAUGUUGACAAAAUAAUGCAAACAAGAAAAAACUAACGUCAUGAUUUAUAGGGAAAAAAAAUUAUAAACGAAAUACAAAUAUGACAUAUACAGCAACAAAAGAAAGCACAGAAUUACAGGCUCCUGACUUGGCACAGGCACAUACAUAAUGUGACGGGGUUAAGCAUGUUAGUGGGCGCUCAACACUCCCCUAACAUGUGACAGUGGUAUAACAGUACAAAAUAUGAACAAUCUAUAAAAUUAAAAAGGGCUUAUCUCAUCAAUUCGAUACACAGCAGAAAAAUACGUAACAAAAUUAAACAAACAACGGUCGGACG